UUCAACCUCUGUGAGUCUGUGUAAUAUUUAAUAUUAGGCCCCAUUUUUGCCUGAUUCAGUCACAGUUAAUAAAUAAUGGAACUAGAAUCAGCCUGUGGAAGUUUCUCUAUAGUUUUAUUAUUUUUUCCAGUCAAUGAUGAUAUGUGACUCUUUCCACCUUCCAGCAAUAAUUAUUGAGAAUUUACCAAGGACUCCAUUGGCAUUGAAUCGAAGAAAAACAGUUUCAAUAUUGGAUGUAUAUGCAAAUCACCCAGAAAAAGAUCAUGUAAUAACAAAAGAAAUUAUAAAAGAAAAAAAUGGAAGAAGAAAUGGCUGGAAAAAAUGAAAAUAGAGCAGCUUUUUCUUGUUACCCACCUCGGAAGAUCAAGUUGGAAAGGGCUAUUGAUAUUGUGGAGACGUUUUCUCACAGAUCUUGCUUAUCAGACAAAGACUAUGCUGGAACACCAUUGAAAGAGUAUUUGCUGUAUGAUAACAACAAGAAAACCCAAGCAUCAAUUUAUUUUAUACUUCUGGGAAAGAAUGCAUUUGACCCAAUUUUUAAAUAUUUAUUUGUU